GGGAGGGGGGGGAGGGGGAGGGGGGGGGGGGGGGGCGGCCGCGUCCGACUGCGUUGCCGUCGGACGUCUUCCGGGAAGUGGAACUCAUCCAGAGGAACCUCGAGCACCUGCAGAAGUUGGAGGCGGAGUUCAGGGUGUUGAAGAGUCGAGCGUCAGCGUCGCCCAAAGGCUUCCUGACACACACAGAGACAGCGCAAGACGAGUGAGAGACGCAGCGAGAGAGAGAGACAGACACGACACCACCGCAGAGGCGGAGGGAGAUGCCAAAUGUUACCUAUGCACGCUAUGAAAUGUAAAAGUAUUGCUGCCAUCAGAUUUUCUACAGCACAUAAACACACCCCCAGCCCACCCGCCCGCCACGUGACAGCGGCUCGUAGCCAGAGCUCGUCACCCGGGGGUCAGUCACCCGGGGGUCAGACUCAGUCACCCGGGUCUCAGUCACCCGGGGGUCAGUCAGCCGGAGGUCAGACUCAGUCACCCGGGUCUCAGUCACCCGGGGGUCAGACUCAGUCACCCGGGUCUCAGUCACCCGGGGGUCAGUCAGCCGGAGGUCAGACUCAGUCACCCGGGUCUCAGUCACCCGGGGGUCAGACUCAGUCACCCGGGUCUCAGUCACCCGGGGGUCAGUCAGCCGGGGGUCAGACUCAGUCACCCAGGUCUCAGUCACCCGGGGGUCAGUCAGCCGGGGGUCAGUCAGCCGGGGGUCAGUCAGCCGGGGGUCAGUCAGCCGGGGGUCAGUCAGCCGGGGGUCAGUCCGAGUGUGAGACUCGCAACGCUGCACCACGGCCGCACGGUUCCCCUCUUCAUCGCUCGCGAAGAGGUGGAGAGGGUGGGGGGGGGGGGGUCUCGGUAGAGGAGCCGGGAGCACCAACAGCAGCAACAACAGCACCAGCAACACCAGCAGCAGCAACAACACCAGCACCAGCAACACCAGCAGCAGCAGUAACAGCAGCAGCAGCAGUAACAGCAGCAGCAGUAACAGCAGCAGUAACAGCAGCAGCAGUAACAGCAGCAGCAGUAACAGCAGGAGCAGUAACAGUAACAGCAGCAGCAGCAGUAACAGCAGCAGCAGCCACCGCUAACCAUAGCCCCCCCCCCAAGCCGAGCUCUGCAGUCCUCUACAUAUGAAGACGGCGUCACGUCACGUAGCGUCACGUGGCAUCAUGUCACGUCACGUCACGUAACGUGACGCUGCGUCACGUUACGUGACGUGACCUCACGUCGGAGAUGUUCACACCGCUGGCACCAUAAGCCACCCCCCCCACUCUCACCCCCCUACUCU